rnacentral:rRNA from 1 species
UGAGGAAUUUUGCGCAAUGGGGGAAACCCUGACGCAGCAACGCCGCGUGAGUGAUGAAGGCUUUCGGGUCGUAAAGCUCUGUCAAGUGGGAAGAAUCUGUCCAGUGAUAAUACCGCUGGACAAUGACGGUACCGCUGAAGGAAGCACCGGCUAACUCCGUGCCAGCAGCCGCGGUAAUACGGGGGGUGCUAGCGUUAUUCGGAAUCAUUGGGCGUAAAGGGCGCGUAGGCGGUCUUUUAAGUCAGAUGUGAAAGCCCUCGGCUUAACCGAGGAAGUGCAUUUGAUACUAAGAGACUUGAGUAUGGGAGAGGGAAGCGGAAUUCCUGGUGUAGCGGUGAAAUGCGUAGAUAUCAGGAGGAACACCGGUGGCGAAGGCGGCUUCCUGGACCAAUACUGACGCUGAGGCGCGAAGGCGUGGGGAGCAAACAGG